GAGAUGAUGACGGUGGCCGAGAGCUCUGACAGGCCGAGGACCCAGAGAAGCUGGCCAUGGAGUUCAGCGCCGUCCUAGGGUGGGAGCCCGGGAGCUGAGGAUGAGCUGUCCCCACUCAGGCUGAGGCAGGAGGCCGCAGGGGCAGAGCCACCCUUCCUUCUCCCUUGUUUCUCCCAGGCCCUCGGCGGACUUGAUGCUAAGAUGGACGGACAAGGGGAUGGGGCAGAGCAGACAGGAUACUGAGCCCAAGGAAGCACAAUGGGACGUUCCAUGAGUACGUUUGCGACACACAAGGGAUCCAUCCAUCGUGGGGAGCCGCCUGGAAGCUCAAGGAGAUGCUAGGAAAGAAAGGCCGGCACAGCAAACACGACAGACUUUUCAUGGACAACAAAAUGCAAAUGAGGAUAUGGAAGAGAUUUUGUGGCUCAUGAGUGUGGAACUGAAGCUCUGCAGCGUGAGACACCAGAACUGAGCUACACGCCAGACACCAGAGCCUGAGCCCGGUGUUGAGAACAGUGCCAGGCAGCUGAGCAGCAGGGAGGAGUCAUCCUGCACAAGCAAUAAGGACUGCAGAAGGGAGAUGGCGUCCUCAACAGAGUGGCAGCGUUUUCUCUUAUUUGCAUCAAGCAUUUGUCAUUUUCUUGGCACAGGUUUCUCCUUUCAUCCGUGAGCUGUGUGAGAGAUUACGUUUCAAGUCGGCCUCUUUCAUAUUUGGGUUCAAAUCCAGUUCUGCCAUGUCCUUUUGGAUAAAGGGCUUCCCUCGCAGUCAGAAGUUUCCUCCACACUGACUGAUACCUGAGGAGCAGGGGUCACUCAUCACAGCUCCCUGGACUGUGCCUCUGCAUACAGCGCUCACUCUCUGAAGCUUUCCUGCUCUACCUGCGUCGGACAGGAGGCCGAGUGCCUGGGUCAGGGAGGGAGGUCAGAGACAGGUGCAGCAGGCAGACAGGUCUCCUCUGACUGCUGUUCUCUGCCUGUGGGGACCAAGGCUGUGCUCCUUUUACAGACGGGACCUGAAGCACAGAGAAGACUAUCAGAUUGUUCAAGGCCACGCAGCUGCGGAGUGGCAGAAGCAGGAUUUUAUCCUGGGCCGUUUGGCUUCAGAGUCUGGGCUCCGGCCCUCCUUCACCGCUGUGAGUCUCCUCCCAUGGCUAAGGAAAAACAAUCACAUUGCUAUUCCUUUUCUUUUUUACACAGGGUCUUGCUAUGUAGUUCAGGCUGGCCUUGAACUCGCGAUCAGCCAAGGGUGGCCUGGAACUCACUGCAACCCUCCUGCCUCAGCCCCCUUGUGCUGAGUGAGCGAACACAGAUGGAGCUGGAGGAGGCCCAGCCAGCUGCCUGCCUCUGUGCAGCCUGCCUCCAUCUUGGGGGUACGUCAGGGCCCCCCUGGAACGAGGGUCUCAAAUCUCCUACCAGACAAGGUCGGUCAGAGAAUUUAUGACCAGCACUAACGGAAAGGUGGGGGAAGAUUAGAGUAACAUUUCCAGAUGUCAUGUUUGCCGCUGGGCAAGAAGAUGUCCUCAUCUCUAUGGCCCAAUCUGGGGACGAGGGGUUCUGGUUUCUGUGGCAGCUUUGGGGGAGAAAAGGGAGCAGGAGAAAGGUAGGUCAGAGACACCUGGUGACACUUCCAGCGUCUCUUGGUUCCGAGCACUCAGGAUGGCCCGCGCCACACUUUGAGGUGUCACUUCCUGAGACCUAAUGCUUGUUUUUAAUUUUGUUGAGAAAGAAUCAGAAGAAAAUGUCCGUGUGUCACCACCACCACCACCAUAUUAACAGACCUGCUUGUCGGGUCCCAAAUUCACUGCCGAACCUUUGGGCACCAAAAAAUGUCACAUCUAAAUCCAACAGUCUCUCAUGCUUGGGACCCCGCAAUCCUGUCCCUUCCCCUGCUCUAGGACUCGUUCUCUUUAUCCUCUCUUACAGCAUCAGCUUCCAGCCCCGUGCUAAGUUACUCCCUCUUCCUGUAACAUCUCCAAUCAUAAAAAGAUUCCUGGUUUCCAGUCCAACAUGUAAGGAGCUUGGAAGUUGUCACUCGAUUCUAACAGGUAAAAAAAGCUGAACAAACUGACCCUUGUGAGCCCUGUGACCCCUGUGUCCUGGGGUCACAGGACAGUCUGAUGCCCCUACACUGGAGAGACAGUCAAGAAAAUAACGGAGGAGCACAAGUUACCAGAGCAGGACCUUCGAGGAACCAGCACCCCGGGAAUCUCAGCACCCAACCAGGGCUGCUGGGGGCUCAGGGCCGGCGAGUCUGACAGUAGAAACUCCCAGGGGACCCAGUGCAGAGGGAGCCCCAUGCCUUUGGAAGUUUUACCUCCAGGAGCCCAGGCUGCUUCUCAUAGUGCAUAAUGGAGAAAAAUGUCCUCAUGUUUCCGGCAGGGGAGGAAAAGGAUUUUGAAGAAUGACAGGAGAUUCUGCUCUUCACAUUGUGAUUUUUAAGUACUUUACCAGCGCAUAAACGGCUGGCGUCAUAUCAGAGGACAACUGAUCUGUUAGAAGAUAACAACCGACACUACCUCUGUCUAUCCUCUCCCACCUGUGGGGGGCAGUGAGACGCACUACUGAAACCUACAGCCCAGAGAGAGAGGCUUCCGGAAAGGCUGAGACCCGAUUGGAGGACUGUGGGACACGCCCCCUUGCCCACCCAAUCACAUGAGGUCUUGAAAGGCUACUUUGCUUAAAUUCCUUUCACCUAGGACAAACUGUCCAGCUCUCAGGAAAAAUAAAUCACAAAACAUAUGAAAAGGCCAAAACAAAACCAAAACUGAAGAGACAAAACAAGCAUCAGAACCAGACCCAGAUGUGGCGGGGAUGCUGGAAUUACCAGACCGGGAAUUUAAAUAAUAUGAUUAAUAUGUAAGGGAUUUUGGAUAAAGUGGCUAGCAUAUAAGGACAAAUGACAAUAUAAGCAGAGAUAGAAUUAAUUUUUAAAAUUCUAGAAGUCAAAAACACUGCAGUAGGAAAGUUAAAAUAACGUAUUUUUCUUAUUCUUAAUUGAUCCAGUAGAUAAUUUGUCCAGACUGGUAAUAGUUUGAAUCUAUUGAACCUUGAAUGCAUACAGUGUACACUAUAUACACACGUGCUUAUGACAGAACUGAUACAAAGGCUUGGGAGCAACUAGGAGUAUACUGUUACUACGAGGUAUUCUCAGCACCUGUGAAGUGGGACAGUGUCAUCUGAAAGUGGACUUGGACUAGGUGUCAGUAUAUACUGCAGACUCUAGCACAAAAGAGCAAAACCAAAAACAAAUACACUACUAAGAAAAAAGAGGAAAUGUAAUCACAGUCUGGCCCAAUAAAACGAGAACAGGCCUCAAGGGGCCAGUGGUGGAUGGCACUUGCAUUACAGCAGGGGAGACUUUAUUGUCAUAUCAGAAGAAAACAACUUGGAAAGCAAUGUGAGUGAAAAAUGUUAUUGUCAACCAGUAUAUUUUAUUCUAUUUAUAGAUUUUUUUGGAGCCGAGGUCUCACUCUGCAGUCCAGCCUCCCUUGAACUCACUCUGUAGCCCAGGCUGGCCUUGAACACACAGUGAUGCUCCUGCCUCAGCCUCCCAAGGGCUGGGAUCACACCUGUGCAUCACCACACCCAGCUCAACUGGUAUAUUUUAACCCUAACUGAUUAUUAUUAUCGAUAGUGUAACUGUAUGAUGAUUAGCAUUAAGUCAUGUGAGUAAAAGAUGCAGAGGUGUAUAGCUUCCUCUUUUCUUUUGGGAAUGUUAUUGUGUUGUACAUCGUGGAGAGAGCAGAGAAGGGGGAGGGAGCCGACAAUUAAGCAGUCUCUGCUGAGUGCUUCACAUACAUUUUCUUCUUCAAGACUCAGCAGCCCUGGGUGUAUCUUUUUCUCCCUGCUUGACAGACGAGGAGGGUCAGGAGGUGAAGAUCUCCGCCUGGCUAUUAAGGGGAGGAGUCAGAAUCCAUAACCAGGCUGCUCCUCCAGGCCCUCUCUUCUGCUGUCUUCAGUGUGCUGGGUCUGGUCUAUAAAUCUUUCUUCAAUAAGCAAGUCUGUUUACUGAGUCGACGAGUGAAGCCAGAAACCAUGUGGAGAAAAAAUGUGCUCUUUUCUGUCUGCAAAUGUCAAGGGUGAUAAUAUGGAAUUGUAUUCCUACCAUCCAUCUUGGAAUCCUGUAACUGGGGCUUUUGUAAAAGUAGGAGGAAGUGAAGAAAUUUUCCACCAGGACUUCUACUGCAGAUAAAAUGUUACUGAGCAGUCAUUGUAGCCCACCCUUUCCCUCAACCCAGUGUAUAAUGGAGGAUAUGAGUCAACUAGAAAAAUGUAUCAGCUCAUCUAUUCUUGCCACAUGUAAUGAAAUUUAGUAUCAAAAAUAAGGGGAUGCUGGGCAUAGUGGUAAACCCAGCACUCAGGAGGCUGAGGCAGGAGGAUCACAGUGAGUUCAAGGCCAGGCAGGGUUACACAGUGAGUUCAAGGCCAGCCUGAAGUACUAUAUCCUAAGAUCCUGUCUCAAAAGCAAGCAAGCAAACAAACAAACAGCAACAACAACAAAAAGGGCUUUAAGGGUCUCCCUAAACUUGCUUUUAAUGGACUAAUGAAUUUGAAAUAAUGUAAAAAAAAAUUGUGAUGGUUCACUUUUGCAUUGUGGUUUAAAGCAUAUCACUUGAGAAACAUUUCAAACAAAGUAUUUGUUUCAGGAGAGAUUAAUCUUAAAAUUGCAAAAAAAUAAUGAAUGAAUGAAUUCAUUCAAGGGAGCACAAUGUAUUAAGUGCCUGUUUGUGCUUUGAACUCUGCUGGAUACUAUGCACAAAGACAGCACGGUGUACUCCACACUGGCUCACAGCCUUUAGAAGUCCUUGAGGGCCCCUUCUUUUGUGAGCUCCCAGGCAAUGCAGAGCUACUUGGGGUGAGCUACAUCUUGGGCAAAGAAGUGAUUGAAAAGUUGGCAACCUCAACUCCUCCAUGGAGCCAGGAGAACUGAAAUAAGAGCAGGGUAUUUUCUCAAUUCUUUGCAUAGCCAUUUUAAUCCAUCAUUAUCUUCUAAAUUAAUGUCUUGCAUAUUAUUUUUUAAAUCUGUGCCAAAAUAAUAUUCCCAUUGCUUAGCGAUACUUAGAAAUGGAUAUGAUUUUUUCCCAGUAAUUCUUCUGAAUCCAUGUGUUUUAAGAAGUCAGCAUUCCGGCUGUUUGCUGGAACAGAUGCAUUCAAGGUUUAUUGUUGACCUUCUAGCUCCUUUAGUUUGGGACCCACAUUUGCCUUUUAGAUUUGGUGUUUAAUUCAUUUGUUGCUGGAAAUACCCUCAGCUUUAUUCAACAUUUUGUGCUGUGCCAAGACCACAUUUUGGUCUGUACACACUUCGUGGCCUUUAUUUUUAAAAAAAGUUUUUCUGCUCCCUCAAUAAUUUCCAGCGGUAUUCAAUUUUGGUGGGAUUCUGGAGUCUUACGCUUCCAUUUUAUAGGGUGAGAGCAGACAGAUUCCAGGCAAAGGUUUACCCCAGUCCAAAUCAACCACACCUUUCCAUAUGCAGUGUCUGCGUGUGGAUGAGACAAACUUGGCAGAGAGGGUGACCACACAGCUGCUGGGCACAGGGUGACACACUGGCCACAAAUCUUCACCUGUGAGGUCAGCAGGGCCCUUCUGCCUGCACUGCCGCACCCUAAACCACUCUGGGCCCCCGAAUCCCCAGAUUCAGGGCCCUUAUCAGUGUGGGCAGCCGGCCCUCGCUCCAGGGUUUGUCUGUGUUUUGUGACAGGACAUGAGGCACUUUCCAGGGACCCGAGAAGCAGAGAGGCAUGACUACCAGGAAACGUUACUCUUCCCUGUAGGGGACACACCGCCUUUGUCAGUCUAUGGUCUGCACACUUGGGGCAGCACAGGUGGGGGGACUUCCUCUUCCCGUAGGGCUCCACAUUUAUACUAAAAUAAACGCCAUGUUUACGGUGACAUUUUCCAUGUUAAUGGGAGAUGUUAUGCUCUCAUAUGUCGUAUUUGCUAUUUCUCAGAAAGAAAAACCUACAGUAAUAAUUCAAACACCUAAACAGUUAGUAGGAAUUAGCUUCAAAUUAAGCUAAACUCUGAAAAUAAGUUGUUUCCAUUUUCAUGUUGAAUAUGUAAAAGCAAUCAAGAAUAAAAUUAAUA